rnacentral:rRNA from 3 species
GGGGAAACACCCGUUCCCAUCCCGAACACGGAAGUUAAGCCCUCCAGCGCCGAUGGUAGUUGGGGCCAGCGCCCCUGCAAGAGUAGGUCGCUGCUAGGC